rnacentral:rRNA from 1 species
GACGAACGCUGGCGGCGUGCUUAACACAUGCAGGUCGAACGGAAAGGCCCUGCUUUUGUGGGGUGCUCGAGUGGCGAACGGGUGAGUAACACGUGAGUAACCUGCCCUUGACUUUGGGAUAACUUCAGGAAACUGGGGCUAAUACCGGAUAGGAGCUCCUGCUGCAUGGUGGGGGUUGGAAAGUUUCGGCGGUUGGGGAUGGACUCGCGGCUUAUCAGCUUGUUGGUGGGGUAGUGGCUUACCAAGGCUUUGACGGGUAGCCGGCCUGAGAGAGUGACCGGCCACAUUGGGACUGAGAUACGGCCCAGACUCCUACGGGAGGCAGCAGUGGGGAAUAUUGCACAAUGGGCGGAAGCCUGAUGCAGCAACGCCGCGUGCGGGAUGACGGCCUUCGGGUUGUAAACCGCUUUCGCCUGUGACGAAGCGUGAGUGACGGUAAUGGGUAAAGAAGCACCGGCUAACUACGUG